AGAUAAAAAUUUCAUUCAUCUGUACGGUUAAAAACUGACGUGGUUGACGAAAUAACUAGACAGUAACACGUGAUGUGUCACGUUUACAUCAUGAUGUAUAAUGACCAAUUUUUAAUAAUAAAAACAGAUAGAAUUUUUAACG
rnacentral:pre_miRNA from 1 species